AGAGAGAGAGAGAGAGAGAGUUCAAAGGAGAGGCCAGGUGGCAGUGAUCAGACUGAUCACAGCAAUCAACACAAAAAAAGCAGAUUGAACUGUUGAACCCGGUUUCGCGCCUCUUCUCCGCAGUUUGAGCGGCGCGCUGCUCUCCGGCUUCAGUGACUCACGAAACGCCACAGAGGGAACGACAGCCUCCUGACAUGACAGCUCUUCUUGAGACAUUAUAAUCCAACUUGGAUGGAAAAACUUCGUGACCUUAAUGACACCCAGCAACACGAGCUAGAGAGACACACAAGCACCACAGGGGAGGAUCUGCAGCAAAGGGCCCACCGGAAAUCAAACCUUGGCCGCCAUGAUGACGACAUGUGGCACUUGAGUGUGAAUCUAGCCUUUUCAUUUUUAUUUACAACAUUAGCAUUGAAAAGAGCAAAAGUUGAUGCUUGAGAUGAUUUUGUUUUUACUGAAGAGGAUGUAUGUCCUCCCUUUGUCCUUUAUCCCCUUACUCUUUCUUUUUAGGUGUGAUUACGACUACCAGCAUGGACCUCAACACCUUCUUUGCUGUUCCACUAGUGUGACCCAUGAUCGGAUACAAGUUGUCAAGGAUAAACGGGAAGAGAAUCAUGUCAGCCCACAGACAACCGGUUGACCUGUGAGUCUUCAAGCAGUAAUGAUGACUACUCCUGCCUUAAGUUCCAGUUUCCUGAACAUCAUGUCGGCAUGAGAUUCUGUCCCCACCUGUCUUCAGUCUGGACCCAUGAGUUUUUUUUUUUUACAGUGCGUUUACAGUCACAUGUUUUUUUUCGAGGCUUUGUCUGAGUUUCAGUGCUGCAGUUAUUUACCAUUCAGGGUUGUUCAGAAACAUCCAAUUUGUCAUUCUCAUUUGAAGGGCUUGCUGCUGUGAUUCUUUUGUGUACACCAGGAUUUCUUUGUAUUUUGGCAUUUUACACAAAUGUUUUUGAAAGAUGGUCAACAAAGUUGCACAAAUAAAUGUUUAACUGCU